rnacentral:siRNA from 1 species
ACGUGGUGUGCCCUGCAAGUGUGU